rnacentral:rRNA from 1 species
UACGUAGGGUGCAAGCGUUAAUCGGAAUUACUGGGCGUAUAGCGUGCGCAGGCGGUUUUGUAAGUCUGUCGUGAAAGCCCCGGGCUCAACCUGGGAAUUGCGAUGGAGACUGCAAGGCUUGAAUCUGGCAGAGGGGGGUAGAAUUCCACGUGUAGCAGUGAAAUGCGUAGAGAUGUGGAGGAACACCGAUGGCGAAGGCAGCCCCCUGGGUCAAGAUUGACGCUCAUGCACGAAAGCGUGGGGAGCAAACAGG